rnacentral:rRNA from 1 species
AACGCUGGCGGCGUGCCUAAUACAUGCAAGUCGAGCGAACAGAYGAGGAGCUUGCUCCUUUGACGUUAGCGGCGGACGGGUGAGUAACACGUGGGUAACCUACCUAUAAGACUGGGAUAACUUCGGGAAACCGGAGCUAAUACCGGAUAAUAUUUCGAACCGCAUGGUUCGAUAGUGAAAGAUGGCUYUGCUAUCACUUAUAGAUGGACCUGCGCCGUAUUAGCUAGUUGGUAAGGUAACGGCUUACCAAGGCAACGAUACGUAGCCGACCUGAGAGGGUGAUCGGCCACACUGGAACUGAGACACGGUCCAGACUCCUACGGGAGGCAGCAGUAGGGAAUCUUCCGCAAUGGGCGAAAGCCUGACGGAGCAACGCCGCGUGAGUGAUGAAGGUCUUCGGAUCGUAAAACUCUGUUAUUAGGGAAGAACAAACGUGUAAGUAACUGUGCACGUCUUGACGGUACCUAAUCAGAAAGCCACGGCUAACUAC